CUUGAAGACUACAAGGUAGAUAGGGCAGAGGUGGAAGUGCAGUAAUGUAUGGAGCUGACUGUCACUAAUCGGUCGAUGGCUUGAUCG
rnacentral:rRNA from 1 species